rnacentral:rRNA from 1 species
GACGAACGCUGGCGGCGUGCUUAACACAUGCAAGUCGAACGAUGAACCCGGAGCUUGCUCCGGCGGAUUAGUGGCGAACGGGUGAGUAACACGUGAGUAACCUGCCCUUGACUCUGGGAUAACUGCGGGAAACUGUAGCUAAUACCGGAUACGACCCUCGGCGGCAUCGCCAGGGGAUGGAAAGAAUUUCGGUCAAGGAUGGACUCGCGGCCUAUCAGCUAGUUGGUGAGGUAACGGCUCACCAAGGCGACGACGGGUAGCCGGCCUGAGAGGGUGACCGGCCACACUGGGACUGAGACACGGCCCAGACUCCUACGGGAGGCAGCAGUGGGGAAUAUUGCACAAUGGGCGCAAGCCUGAUGCAGCAACGCCGCGUGAGGGAUGACGGCCUUCGGGUUGUAAACCUCUUUUAGUAGGGAAGAAGCGAAAGUGACGGUACCUGCAGAAAAAGCACCGGCUAACUACGUGCCAGCCGCCGCCGUAAUAC